AGAUCAUCGUUACCGCUAAUCGACAAUCGCUCUCUCUACCUGCUCGACUCUCGGCCUCCCUCAGUCGCUCGGCGCACGAACAGACGAACUCACGAUUAUGUUUUGUUGAUUGAAAUCACCACUGUCGAUUGACGAUUGUAGAAGUACGAACAAGUGAACAACGAUUCUAUUAUGUUGACUGAAAUAACCAGUUCAUCACUGUCGUCUGUCGGCGGUCGGCUCUCGUAGUCUCGCUCGCGCCCUCUCGACCGCUCAAAAUCUAAUGACUUGUGACUGUGAGAUAGGUACCAGGUGGAGAAUGGAAUGGAUCUAAAGAGAGGUAGGAUUUGAGCUAGUGGAGAAGAUUUGUCGGCUUAGAUUACUUAUCUUUAGUUGUAAUAAUUCUUUACUGUGGUUAUUGAUGUAAUUUUCUCUGCAUACAUUUGGGAUAUACUUUGGUUUUUUCCUUGAUGUUAAAUUUUGCUCAUUGCCAUUGCUUAAUAAGUGUGGGAUGAUUUAAAUAUUGGGUUGUUACAAUAUAAUCAUUUGUG